rnacentral:rRNA from 1 species
UGCCUACGGGUGGCAGCAGUAAGGAAUAUUGCACAAUGGGGGAAACCCUGAUGCAGCAACGCCGCGUGAGUGAUGAAGGCCUUCGGGUUGUAAAACUCUUUUCUGAGGGAUGAGGAAGGACAGUACCUUAGGAAUAAGUCUCGGCUAACUACGUGCCAGCAGCCGCGGUAAAACGUAGGAGGCGAGCGUUAUCCGGAUUUACUGGGCGUAAAGGGCAAGUAGGCGGUGGUCAAAGUUGGGCGUGACAGAUCCUGGCUUAACUGGGAGAGGUCGUUCAAAACUAGAUCACUAGAGGGCAGGAGAGGGGAGCGGAAUUCCUAGUGUAGCGGUGGAAUGCUCAGAUAUUAGGAAGAACACCAGUGGCGAAAGCGGCUUUCUGGCCUGCACCUGACGCUAAGGGGCGAAAGCUAGGGGAGCGAACGGGCUUAGAUACCCUAGUAGUCC